rnacentral:piRNA from 1 species
UAAAGGAGUACCUAACAGAAGCAGCUUAAGG